rnacentral:rRNA from 1 species
AAAACGACUCUCGGCAACGGAUAUCUCGGUUCUCGCAUCGAUGAAGAACGCAGCGAAAUGCGAUACUUGGUGUGAAUUGCAGGAUCCCGCGAACCAUCGAGUCUUUGAACGCAAGUUGCGCCCGAAGCCUUUCGGCCGAGGGCACGUCUGCCUGGGUGUCACUC